rnacentral:rRNA from 1 species
CCCUUAGAUGUUCUGGGCCGCACGCGCGCUACACUGAUUCAUGCAACAAGUUUUGUCCUUGGCUGAUAGGCCUGGGUAAUCUUUGAACGUGAAUCGUGAUGGGGAUAGAUGAUUGCAAUUAUUCAUCUUCAACGAGGAAUUCCUAGUAAACGCAAGUCAUCAGCUUGCAUUGAUUACGUCCCUGCCCUUUGUACACACCGCCCGUCGUACCUACCGAUUGAAUGGUCCGGUGAAAUCUUCGGAUCUGAGAGAUGUCUGAUUAAUUUCGGACGCCUUUUGGAAAAGUUGUUUAAACCUUACCAUUUAGAGGAAGGUGAAGUCGUAACA